rnacentral:rRNA from 1 species
UACGUAGGGUGCAAGCGUUGUCCGGAACUAUUGGGCGUAAAGGGCUCGUAGGCGGUCCGUCACGUCGGGAGUGAAAUCCUGGGGCUUAACCCCAGAACUGCUUCCGAUACGGGCAGACUAGAGGUAGGUAGGGGAGAAUGGAAUUCCUGGUGUAGCGGUGGAAUGCGCAGAUAUCAGGAGGAACACCAGUGGCGAAGGCGGUUCUCUGGGCCUUACCUGACGCUGAGGAGCGAAAGCGUGGGGAGCAAACAGG